UGGAAGGUCGUUAUCUAAUUAAAAUUAGAUGU
rnacentral:piRNA from 1 species